ensembl:rRNA 5S_rRNA 5S ribosomal RNA
GCCACAGCCAUAUCACCCUACAGCGCAAGACCGAUUACUCACCGAAGCUAAGCAGGGCUGAGCCAAGUCAGUACCUGGAUGGGAGACCACAUGGGAAAACUAGGUUGCUGUUGGCA